rnacentral:rRNA from 1 species
GGUGAACGCUGGCAGCGUGGAUCAGGCAUGCAAGUCAAACGACCUCUUCGGAGGGAGUGGCAAACGGGUUAGUAACACGUAGGGAACCUACCCGAAAGUGGGGCAUAGCUCGCCGAAAGGCGGGGUAAUUCCCCAUAGUCUAAUGUUGUAUUUCAACAUUAGUAAAGCUUCGGCACUUUCGGAAGGUCCUGCGUCCUAUCAGCUUGUUGGUGAGGUAAAAGCUCACCAAGGCUACGACGGGUAGGGGGUGUGAGAGCAUGGCCCCCAACAUUGGAACUGAGACACUGUCCAAACACCUACGGGUGGCUGCAGUCGAGAAUCUUCGGCAAUGCACGAAAGUGUGACCGAGCGACGCUGCGUGUAGGAAGAAGGCCUUCGGGUUGUAAACUACUGUCCUAGGGGAAGAACUUUGACGGUACCCUAGAAGAAAGGAGCACCUAAUCACG